UCCGAGUUGACCCCGGCAGUCUCCUGUGAGUCCCCAACUAAAUGCUGGCAACACAGAACGAGGGUUGCGCUCGUUGCGGGACUUAACCCAACAUCUCACGACACGAGCUGACGACAACCAUGCACCACCUGUAUACCGACCUUUUACAGCUAUGACAUUUCUGCCAUAUUCCGGUAUAUGUCAAGCCUUGGUAAGGUUCUUCGCGUUGCGUCGAAUUAAGCCGCAUGCUCCGCUGCUUGUGCGGGGCCCCGUCAAUUCCUUUGAGUUUUAAUCUUGCGAUCGUACUCCCCAGGCGGGGCACUUAAUGCGUUAGCUGCGUCGCAGAAACCGUGGAAGGUUCCCACAACUAGUGCCCACCGUUUACGGCGUGGACUAC
rnacentral:misc_RNA from 1 species